rnacentral:rRNA from 1 species
CCUACGGGAGGCAGCAGUGGGGAAUAUUGCACAAUGGGGGGAACCCUGAUGCAGCGACGCCGCGUGAGUGAAGAAGUAUUUCGGUAUGUAAAGCUCUAUCAGCAGGGAAGAAAAUGACGGUACCUGACUAAGAAGCCCCGGCUAACUACGUGCCAGCAGCCGCGGUAAUACGUCGGGGGCAAGCGUUAUCCGGAUUUACUGGGUGUAAAGGGAGCGUAGACGGUUAUGCAAGUCUGAAGUGAAAGCCCAAGGUUCAACCAUGGGACUGCUUUGGAACAUGUAAAACUGGAGUGCAGGAGAGGGAAGCGGAAUUCCUGGUGUAGCGGUGAAAGGCGUAGAUACUAGGAGGAACACCAGUGGCGAAGGCGGCUUACUGGAAUGUAACUGACGUUGAGGCCCGAAGGCGUGGGGAGCAAACAGGAUUAGAGACCCGAGUAGUC